rnacentral:lncRNA from 1 species
GCUAGAAUAUUCAAAAUGCCUCCCUGGGAUGCAGGCCUCCCAAGCAGAUGGCAUAGAUUUCGUCUCUGAGUAAAUUCACCUGGAGGGCUGCAGAUGUCAAGCACAGAAGGUGGGUGAUACCAUCCUCAAAGCAGGAAGCUCUCAGCUCAAAAUACCUUCUUCAAAGAAACCU